ensembl:lncRNA LINC00467 long intergenic non-protein coding RNA 467
GCGGUCGGGCGUUGGGUUUCGCGGCGCUCGCCGCACUGGUUGUUCAGCACCUUCGGUCCGGUUGAGGUUGUCAAGUCGGACCAAACAGGUUGUUUCUCUGCAGUUUCCAACAUGGCAGGGAGGUUUAAUAGACAUGGAUAAGAAGUCCACUCACAGAAAUCCUGAAGAUGCCAGGGCUGGCAAAUAUGAAGGUAAACACAAACGAAAGAAAAGAAGAAAGCAAAACCAAAACCAGCACCGAUCCCGACAUAGAUCAGUGACGUCUUUUUCUUCAGAUGAUCCUAUGUUUCCUUCUUCCUCAUCAUCGUCUUCAGGAAGCCAGACAGAUUCAAGUAUUGAAGAUGCUGCCAAGGGAAAAAUUAAGAAGAAGAGAAGAGAGAAAACAAAUAAAUGGGAAAAAAGAAAGGUUAGUAAUUGACAAAAUAUGAAACACCAAGAAAAAGAGAAGGAAAAAAAGGAGGAAACAACCACAUAUGUCACCUUUCCAAGAGGGACUGAAACUGGGCUGACCCUUUUGAUUUCCAAGCUCAGCGUUUUGGUGUAAGGCGGCCAAAGAAGGAUGCGGAGCCCAGCACUGUGAAGCCUACAAAAACAUUGAUGCGCUGGCUUGGGGAUUUGAAUUUGAACAUCUUUCACACUAAGUUCAGACUCAUGAAACCAAUCUUCAGAUGCUCUGUAAACCACAUAAUAAAGAGUUUGGAAAU